UUUUUCGACCGAAUCGAAAUUUCUCUUUGUUUUAUGAGCUCUCAAGCAGAACUAAUUGUAAAAAGACAAAGAGAAAUUUCGUUUCGGUCGAAAAAUUCCGCCUCGUGGAAUCAGGCCUUUACACACGAGUAACAACCGAAGGGAAAUUUUCUCAAGUAACGACAACGAAAAGAUAAACUACAGUUCUCACCAAUGCAGACUUUCUGCAACAUCGUUUGGCUUACGUGCUGCAAAGAAUUAGAGCUGAAUAUUUUCUCAACAGUAUACGAAUAUUUCCACGGAUACAAAAAAAAAUAACAUUUUCACAACCAAAAGGGUAAAAUGACUCAAAUGUGCAAUACUUCCGACGGAGACCACCAGGAGAUCUCGAAUCCAGAACAACCUAUAUUAGUCAUGCACUACUUGUCUACGAGUUCUGGACACGAGAUUGAACUACAGUACCUAUAGUACCUAUAGUAUGAACCUGAAAGUUGUAGACUUCCUCUUCAUCUUUCGUCGCAUCUUUACAGCCCGUGAUGUAUUUAUGUCGUCGUAUCUCGAUGUAGGUAGGGGAGCUCCAUUAAUCCUCAAAUUGAAAUCGUUGAUAAAUCCAGCGUAAUCCGAUUUGUAGUACACCUUCAUCCAAGAAACUCCGCCUUCAAAUGUUGCAGGUCCAUCCAGUAGGGAGAUCAGCUGAUAUUGCGAAUUGACCAGUAUGGUCCGGCUUAAUAAAGUCCGGUCAAAGUAGAGAACACGAGUUAACUCGGCUUAUUACCUCUAUCGAUUCAGAACGGUUCAGUUAAUGAUAUAAGAAACUUCAAUAGUCUGUCUUAGUUCUUCCGUGUCAUGAUCCACGACCCAUUUUUCCACUGUUCACAGCUUCAUUCAUCAUUCUAUCUUCACACCAUUGAUGACGUUUUUGUUGUUCGACAUAUUCGUACCAGAUUAGGAGAGCUUGGUUGAUGAUAUGUAAAAACUUCAAUGUACAGUAAGCAGUCUCGAUUUCUUUUUGUGUCUGUCUAUGUUAUCUUUGUUAUAGCUUACGUCUGUUUGCAGCUUUGCAUCGUUGCGUCUUUAGACCAUGAAGAACAUAUAUUGUUUUAUUAAGGUAUUCCCUUUCAGUGCGCAAAUACAAAAUUCUCACAUUUUUGUUCAAAUAUUGGAAUCGAGUAUCAUCAUUUCAUGUAUCAUCACUUGCAUAAAAAUACAUCUGAGAAUUAUAUUUUUAAGUAAAUGCAAGCCAGAAAUUCAUGAAUGCUUGCCAAGUGGCGUAACAUUAUAUCAGGGGCCCCCGGUUCAAAAUUUUCGAAGGCUUCCCUAGUAGUAGUGCCAAAGGCACGAGUUGAGCGCCGCAUAUGCACGAGUUUUCUAGGGGUCCAGGGCAUGCUCACCCGGAAAAUGUUUGAAUCUAGACUUUCUGAAAUGCCAUUUCCCAGCCUUUGGGGAGAGAUUUUACAGAAUUCUGAUGGUCAGAAAACGACAUUGUGACAUCAGAGGCCCUGGUCAAUGUUUUUGCUCUACAACCUGAGCCUGGGGGCCCCCAUUGGGGUUGGGGGCCCUCGGGUUCGCCCGGUCCGAGCCCAUAGUAGUUACGCCACUGAUGCUUGCAUGUUUUUUUAUUUGAAACCGAUGCAGACAAGAUAACACUCCACUGUAAACUCCUUGCAGUAGUAAUUGUCUCACUUCUAUGUUUUUUUUUUAACGCUCAGAGAGCCAAUAUUUUGCCUAGCUAUUGUUUGAAACAUACAGAAAAUACAAAAGACGGCCCCGUAAAUCAGUUGUAUUUACAAACAGUGAAAUUCAAUACUAUAGGGUUGGAAAAACGUAGGCUGUAAUCCGAAAAUUGGAAAAUCAAGGAAGUUAAACAGGAGAGUGUACAAUGUCUAGCAUCAAAUAAUUCGUGAAUAAUUUUAGUUAUCAAAUGCCAAACAGCUAGCGAAAAUGUUCCCUUUAGGUCAAUUGUAAUAAGAUGCAACUCGUAUACCUGUACCGAGUAUAGGACUUGACCGUGAGCAUAUAGAAAGGUCUGGUAACGAGUUAACCGUGAGCAUAUAGCUAGGUCCGGCGACGACCUGACCGUGAGCAUAUAGCAAGGUCUGGUAACGAGUUGACCGUGAGCAUAUAGCUAGGUCUGAUAACGAGUUGACCAUGUGCAUAUAGCUAGGUC
rnacentral:lncRNA from 1 species